GGAGCAGAGGCAAAUACUUUCAUCUCAGUUUUUGAAGAAAUAUUCGGCCAAGGAGGGUUUCUUCAUUUCAAUAUUGUUUUGAUGGUUUUCUUCACCAAUUAUUCAAAAAUUCAAUCCUCUAUUAUCCUAAGACUUCAAUUCAAGAUUGUACGCGUAUUUGGAUUGGAGAAGUACAGAAUUUGGAGGGUUAAGCAGCGGGCUAUUUUAUUUUGCUUUAUGAAAUUUGGAUUAAGCGAUCGAGUGUUUUCUUUCAGGAUUAUUAUAUGACGAUAUGGUCGAGCUUCCAUUCGUUGUUCCGGAAGUCUCAGUUAUGGGAGGUCAUAUUCUUCUUAGAGCUGCAGUAGUCAUGAUAGUAGACCUAGCCAGUAGCAAACGAUUUAUGUUUAUUUUAUACUGUGACAUAAUGAUGUAUUUUGGGAAAGUGAAUU